rnacentral:misc_RNA from 1 species
CGUGCCAAGCUGCGAUAAGC